UACGUAGGUGGCAAGCGUUGUCCGGAUUUACUGGGCGUAAAGGGCGCGUAGGCGGCAAUUCAAGUCAGCUGUGAAAUCUCCGGGCUUAACUCGGAACGGUCAGCUGAUACUGCUCUGCUAGAGUGCAGAAGGGGCAAUCGGAAUUCUUGGUGUAGCGGUGAAAUGCGUAGAUAUCAAGAGGAACACCUGAGGUGAAGACGGGUUGCUGGGCUGACACUGACGCUGAGGCGCGAAAGCUAGGGUAGCAAACGGG
rnacentral:rRNA from 1 species